AAAGUCGUAACAAGGUUUCCGUAGGUGAACCUGCGGAAGGAUCAUUAUUGAAACAAACUGCGGCUGUGGAUUGUUGCUGACCUUUGACCGGGUAUGUGCACGUCUGCAGUUGCUUUAACUUCAUCCACCUGUGCACUACUGUAGGCCUGGAUAUCUUUCACAAGUGAUUGCUAUGUGGUUUGGAGGGUGUUUCACGACUCCCUUCAAUUUCCAGGUCUAUGUUCACUUAUACUCUUUGUAUGUUUUGAAUGUCUUGUUGAUUGGACUCUGUCCUAUAAAACUCAAUACAACUUUCAACAACGGAUCUCUUGGCUCUC
rnacentral:misc_RNA from 1 species